AAAUGUAGUAGACUUUAAGUAUACAUGUGGAACUGGGGAGUAUACUAAGUACACUACGUUUAU
ensembl:miRNA